UACAUUCUUGCUGGGAAAGGAAGAUCUGCCCCCCCCCUAAUACAUUUGUGACAUUUGGGCCUACUGGCUACUGAAAUGGAUGGUAGCGUUCAGGCCAUAGCAUGUUUCAUCAGCCAAAGGCGCUAGGUGAGCCUCUCCGGGGAGAGCCUUCCACAAACGGGGAGCCACUGCAGAAAAGGCCCGUUCUCGUGUUGCUGUCCACCAGACAACGUACAGCAAUGAUUCAGACCUACAUUGCAAAAAAAUAAACAUCCAUUCCUGCGGACCCCAUGACCGCCACCUGCUAACAUAUUGACUGAUGAAGAGGGAACAGGUGCACAGGCAACAGAAAGGUAGGAGAGACAUUUUUAU